rnacentral:rRNA from 1 species
AUUGAACGCUGGCGGAAUGCUUUACACAUGCAAGUCGAGCGGCAGCACGGGGGCAACCCUGGUGGCGAGCGGCGAACGGGUGAGUAAUACAUCGGAACAUGCCCAGUCGUGGGGGAUAACACUUCGAAAGAAGUGCUAAUACCGCAUACGUCCUGAGGGGGAAAGCGGGGGAUCGCAAGACCUCGCGCGAUUGGAGUGGCCGAUGUCAGAUUAGCUAGUUGGUGGGGUAAAGGCCUACCAAGGCAACGAUCUGUAGCUGGUCUGAGAGGAUGAUCAGCCACACUGGGACUGAGACACGGCCCAGACUCCUACGGGAGGCAGCAGUGGGGAAUUUUGGACAAUGGGGGCAACCCUGAUCCAGCCAUUCCGCGUGAGUGAAGAAGGCCUUCGGGUUGUAAAGCUCUUUCGGCAGGAACGAAACGGUGAGCUCUAACAUAGCUUGCUAAUGACGGUACCUGAAGAAGAAGCAUCGGCUAACUACGUG